CCUACGGGAGGCAGCAGUGGGGAAUAUUGCACAAUGGGGGAAACCCUGAUGCAGCGACGCCGCGUGAAGGAAGAAGUAUUUCGGUAUGUAAACCUCUAUCAGCAGGGAAGAAAAUGACGGUACCUGACUAAGAAGCCCCGGCUAACUACGUGCCAGCAGCCGCGGUAAUACGUAGGGGGCAAGCGUUAUCCGGAUUUACUGGGUGUAAAGGGAGCGUAGGCGGCGAUGCAAGUCAGAAGUGAAAGCCCGGGGCUCAACCCCGGGACUGCUUUUGAAACUGUGUUGCUAGAGUGCAGGAGAGGUAAGUGGAAUUCCUAGUGUAGCGGUGAAAUGCGUAGAUAUUAGGAGGAACACCAGUGGCGAAGGCGGCUUACUGGACUGUAAAUGACGCUGAGGCUCGAAAGCGUGGGGAGCAAACAGGAUUAGAUACCCUAGUAGUC
rnacentral:rRNA from 1 species